rnacentral:rRNA from 1 species
UACUCGAGUGGCGAACGGGUGAGUAACACGUGGGUGAUCUGCCCUGCACUUCGGGAUAAGCUUGGGAAACUGGGUCUAAUACCGGAUAGUAACCAUCUUUAGUGUGGUGGUUGGAAAGUUUUUUCGGUGUAGGAUGAGCUCGCGGCCUAUCAGCUUGUUGGUGGGGUAAUGGCCUACCAAGGCGGCGACGGGUAGCCGGCCUGAGAGGGUGUACGGCCACAUUGGGACUGAGAUACGGCCCAG